AAGACUCUAUGUAACUGGCGCAAUGUGGAUAACCACGAGGGAGCAUAGAGCGUACUUGCCGUGCGCCUGGGCAAAAGGG
rnacentral:ncRNA from 2 species